UACUGCAAGUCGAGCGCAGGAACUGACGGAACUCUUCGGAGGGAAGGCAGUGGAAUGAGCGGCGGACGGGUGAGUAACACGUAAGGAACCUGCCUCAAGGAUUGGGAUAACUCCGAGAAAUCGGAGCUAAUACCGGAUAGUUCAACGGACCGCAUGGUCCGCUGAUGAAAGGCGCUUCGGCGUCACCUUGAGAUGGCCUUGCGGUGCAUUAGCUAGUUGGUGGGGUAACGGCCCACCAAGGCGACGAUGCAUACCCGACCUGAGAGGGUGAUCGGUCACAUUGGGAUUGAAACCCGGCCC
rnacentral:rRNA from 1 species